rnacentral:rRNA from 1 species
CGCUGGCGGCGUGCCUAACACAUGCAAGUCGAACGAAGCUCUGCUUUUGAUUUUUUCGGAAUGAUAAAGCAGAUGACUUAGUGGCGGACGGGUGAGUAACGCGUGGAUAACCUGCCCUGCACAGGGGGAUAACAGUUAGAAAUGACUGCUAAUACCGCAUAAGCGCACACUACCGCAUGGUAGAGUGUGAAAAGCGAAUACGGUGCAGGAUGGGUCCGCGUCUGAUUAGCUAGUUGGUGAGGUAAAGGCCCACCAAGGCGACGAUCAGUAGCCGGCCUGAGAGGGCGACCGGCCACAUUGGGACUGAGACACGGCCCAGACUCCUACGGGAGGCAGCAGUGGGGAAUAUUGCACAAUGGGGGAAACCCUGAUGCAGCGACGCCGCGUGAGCGAAGAAGUAUUUCGGUAUGUAAAGCUCUAUCAGCAGGGAAGAUAAUGACGGUACCUGACUAAGAAGCUCCGGCUAAAUACGUGCCAGCAGCCGCGGUAAUACGUAUGGAGCAAGCGUUAUCCGGAUUUACUGGGUGUAAAGGGAGCGCAGGCGGCGGAUCAAGUCUGAUGUGAAAGAUCGGGGCCCAACCCCGGAGCUGCAUUGGAAACUGUUCUGCUG